UGUAUAGUAACAUAAAAGUAUAACAUUAACCCCACUCUUCUAUUUCAUGUUCAAUUAAUGUAAGAGAAUAACAAGAUUUUUAUUGAAAUAGAUAUUUCUGUUGUUUAACUACAUUGUUGCCAAUACUCUUUUUGUAUUUGUUUUUUUUGUAUUGCAACUCUAAUAUUUUCAUUUGUCUUCUGUGUAUUUUGUUGUAGCAUCAAGCAAUUUAGUACAAUCGGUCUCUUAUGGUAGAGAGGUCUUGCUCGACUGUUGGAAGUUAAAGGAUUUGUUAAAUGAUGAACGCUCAUAUCAAGAAGACAACCAAGAGGAUGAAAGUGAUGAUAACUCUGACGACGUGAAUGAAAGUGAUUCUAAUCUUGAUAACAUAGAUGAAAGUGAUUCUGACCUUGAUGGUUGGUAGUUUUAUUGAGGAUUCAAGUUUGAAAUAUUUUGUUUUGGACCAUUUAAGAAUCAUACAUUAUUGAUGUGGAUGUUUUGAAAUAUGUGUUUAGUUAGCAGUAAUGAUUUACAUUAGAC
rnacentral:lncRNA from 1 species